AAUUUGGGACAAUGGGUGCAAGCCUGAUCCAGUAAGGCCGUGUGAGUGAAGAAGGCCUUCUUGUUGUAAAGCUCUUUCGCACGGCAAGAAAUCGCGCAGGCUAAUACCUCUCGCGGAUGUCGGUACCGUCCUAAGAUUCACCGGCUAAUUACGUUCCAGCACCCGCGGUAAUGCGUAGGGUGCGAGCGUUAAUCGGAAUUCCUGGGCGUAAAGCGUGCGCAGGCGGUUGAUUAAGACAGGUGUGCACUCCCCGGGCUUAACCUGGGAAAUGCGCUUGUGACUGGGCAGCUAGAGUCCGGCAGAGGGGGGUGGAAUUCCACGUGUAGCAGUGAAAUGCGUAGAGAUGAGGAGGAACACCGAUGGUGAAGGCAGCCACCUGGGCCGAUAAUGACGCUCAUGCACGAAAGCGUGGGUAGCAAACAGG
rnacentral:rRNA from 1 species